AUUGAACGCUGGCGGCAUGCCUUACACAUGCAAGUCGAACGGUAACAGGUCUUCGGAUGCUGACGAGUGGCGAACGGGUGAGUAAUACAUCGGAACGUGCCCGAGAGUGGGGGAUAACGAAGCGAAAGCUUUGCUAAUACCGCAUACGAUCUCAGGAUGAAAGCAGGGGGCCGCAAGGCCUUGCGCUCACGGAGCGGCCGAUGGCAGAUUAGGUAGUUGGUGGGAUAAAAGCUUACCAAGCCGACGAUCUGUAGCUGGUCUGAGAGGACGACCAGCAACACGGGGACUGAGACACGGCCCAGACUCCUACGGGAGGCAGCAGUGGGGAAUUUUGGACAAUGGGCGCAAGCCUGAUCCAGCCAUGCCGCGUGCAGGAUGAAGGCCUUCGGGUUGUAAACUGCUUUUGUACGGAACGAAAAGACUCCUUCUAAUAAAGGGGGUCCAUGACGGUACCGUAAGAAUAAGCACCGGCUAACUACGUGCCAGCAGCCGCCGUAAUAC
rnacentral:rRNA from 1 species